GUACUCGCCUCGGCGGUACAAAUACUAAAAUUUGGAACCAUACAGAGAAAAUUAGCGUGGCCACUGCGCGCGGUUGACACGUAAAAUAGUGAAGCGAUUCAAAUUUUU